rnacentral:rRNA from 1 species
UACGUAGGUGGCAAGCGUUGUCCGGAUUUAUUGGGCGUAAAGCGCGCGCAGGCGGUCUUUUAAGUCUGAUGUGAAAUCUCGGGGCUCAACCCCGAGCGGUCAUUGGAAACUGGGAGACUUGAGUGCAGAAGAGAAGAGCGGAAUUCCACGUGUAGCGGUGAAAUGCGUAGAUAUCUGGAGGAAUACCGGUGGCGAAGGCGGCAUCCUGGACCGACAUUGACGCUGAGGAGCGAAAGCUAGGGGAGCAAACGGG